rnacentral:pre_miRNA from 1 species
UAGGUUUGUCCUAAGUCAAACUUGUCCAACUUUGACCAAAUUUAUAUUAUAAAUAUAACAUCUAUACUAUCAAAUAUAUGCACUAUCAAAAUAUAUUCCAUAGUGAAUUCAAUGAAACAAAUUUGAUAUUGUAGAUGUUGUUCUAUUUUUCUAUAAAAUUGGUCAAAGUUGGACAAGUUUGACUUAGGACAAACCUAA